rnacentral:rRNA from 1 species
UACGGAGGGUGCAAGCGUUAUCCGGAUUCACUGGGUUUAAAGGGUGCGUAGGAGGGCAGGUAAGUCAGUGGUGAAAUCUCCGAGCUUAACUUGGAAACUGCCGUUGAUACUAUCUGUCUUGAAUACCGUGGAGGUGAGCGGAAUAUGUCAUGUAGCGGUGAAAUGCUUAGAUAUGACAUAGAACACCAAUUGCGAAGGCAGCUCACUACACGAAUAUUGACACUGAGGCACGAAAGCGUGGGGAUCAAACAGG